GCCAUAGCCGAAUGGACAUUUAGAAUUUAUUGGCUGUUUAAUUGAAAAAUAAUCAGCAAGUGCAGCCCCCUUGCCGAAUGGUCACCUCCAAAAUACAUGCAUGGCUGAAUGCAUGCUUUCUUCUAGAUGCUUGCAUUAAAAUUCGGUAAUUCCAUGCACCUUCAGCAGCCAUCAUCAUUAAUGGCGUCCUUGCACUAAGCUGGUUCCAGCUUUUAAUUUGCUGUCCACGCAUGGUGCCCAUUUAAUUUGUUGUCCACACAUGGUACCUGCACCAAUUAAAUGCAACUAAUUAAUUAGCUGGAGAUAUAAUAAAUUCGGCAGCCAUUAAGACAAUUUAUCCAUGCUUUUAAUUUCGGCUGGAACUAUGACAUGUUUAAUAUUCUGCAUUUAAACAACAGCAUUAAACAACAGCAGCAUUAAA
rnacentral:lncRNA from 1 species